rfam:Rhabditophanes sp. KR3021 genome assembly, scaffold: RSKR_scaffold0000001
CAAGUCUUAAAUAGCUGCAUUAAAACGAGCAGCUUUUUCGCCUUUUACUAAAAAGCUCCGUGCAGCUAUUUAUUCAUGACAUUAACAUGACUUUUUGGGAAGCUUCUCUUAGGAGAAGCAA